AUUGAACGUUGGCGGCGUGGAUUAGGCAUGCAAGUCGAGCGAGAACCGUAGCAAUACGGGGACAGCGGCGAAAGGGACAGUAAUGUGUAGGUACCUACCCCGAGGUCUGGGAUAGCUGCGGGAAACUGCAGGUAAUACCGGAUAAUGUCUUCGGACCAAAGGUGUGAUUCCACCUUGGGAGGGGCCUGCAUCCUAUUAGCUAGUUGGCGGGGUAAUGGCCCACCAAGGCAACGAUGGGUAGCGGGUGUGAGAGCACGACCCGCGUCAUUGGGACUGAGAUACUGCCCAGACACCUACGGGUGGCUGCAGGCGAGGAUCUUCGGCAAUGGGCGAAAGCCUGACCGGGCGACGCCGCGUGCGGGAUGAAGGCCUUCGGGUUGUAAACCGCUGUCGUAGAGGAGGAAAUGCAGGGGGGUUCUCCCUUCUGUUUGACCUAUUCUAGGAGGAAGGACGGGCUAAGUUCGUGCCAGCCGCCGCGGUAA
rnacentral:rRNA from 1 species